rfam:Volvox carteri f. nagariensis unplaced genomic scaffold VOLCAscaffold_33, whole genome shotgun sequence.
GGCAUCAUGGUGUAGUGGAAUCACACCUGUCUUACACACAGGAGGCCCCCAGAUCGAAACUGGGUGAUGUCA